UCUGUCGGAGUCUGUCCUCGGAGCAGGAGGAGCGAAGGGGCUUCUGAGAGCUUGCUGCUCGAUAAUUUUCUUUCCCCUCCCUCUCUCCCGCCCCACAUCUCUCUUCACCCCUUUCCUGCCCUUGCUCGCGCAGCCAUGGCGGAGCCGUCGGCGGCCACUCAGUCCCUGGCCGUUUUCUCGGCGCCCGGCGGGAGCCCUGAAUCCUGCCCCGCCCUGGGGGCGAAGAGCUGCGGCUCCUCCUGUGCGGUGCACGAUCUGAUUUUCUGGCGAGAUGUGAGGAAGACUGGGUUUGUCUUUGGCACCACACUGAUCAUGCUGCUCUCCCUGGCAGCUUUCAGUGUCAUCAGUGUGGUUUCUUACCUCAUCCUGGCUCUUCUCUCUGUCACCAGCAGCUUCAGGGUCUACAAGUCUGUCAUCCAAACUGUACAGAAAUCAGAAGACGGCCAUCCGUUCAAAGCCUACCUGGUUGUAGACAUUACUCUGUCCUCAGAAGCUUUCCAUAAUUACGUGAAUGCUGCCAUGGUGCACAUCAACAGAGCCCUGAAACUCAUUAUUCGUCUCUUUCUGAUGGAAGAUUUGGUUGACUCCUCGAAGCUGGCUGUCUUCAUGUGGCUUAUGACCGAUGUUGGUGCUGUUUUCAAUGGAAUCACCCUUCUGAUUCUUGCCGAACUGCUCAUUUUCAGUGUCCCCAUUGUCUAUAAGAAGUACAAGACCCAGAUUGAUCACUAUGUGGGCAUCGCCCGCAAUCAGACCAAGUCGAUUGUUGAAAAGAUACAAGCAAAACUCCCUGGAAUCGCAAAAAAGAAGGCAGAAUAAGUACAUGGGAACCAGAAAUGCAACAGUUACUAAAACACCACUUUAAUAGUUAUAACGUUACUACUUGUACUAUGAAGGAAGUGCUCAGUGUCAGCUCGAGCCUGCAUUCCAAGCUUCUUUUUCUUAAUU